AGCCAUUUUGGCUCAAGGUUCACUGGUGCCUCUGACGCGCGUUGGCCAUGGCGCCGACUUGCCCCACUGCCGAACUGAAUUGCCAUCCCUGUCGCGCGGGAUGUACAAACCGACGCAGCCUGUCCGAGCCCCCGCAUGUCCGUAGCCAUUUUGGCUCCAGGUUCGCUGGUGCCUCUGACGCGCGUUGGCCAUGGCGCCGACUUGUCCCACUGCCGAACUGAGUUGCCAUCCCUGUCGCGCGGGAUGUAAAAACCGACGCAGCCUGUCCGAGCCCCCGCAUGUCCGUAGCCAUUUUGGCU
rnacentral:misc_RNA from 1 species